GGCUGGCCUGAGUGCAGUGGUGUUUAUAACUAAUUGAUCACAACCUUUUUCACAACCAAAUUCCUUUGUUCCUCUCCACUCUCACUGCUUCACUUGACUAGCCUACC
ensembl:misc_RNA Y_RNA Y RNA